rnacentral:tRNA from 1 species
GGGCUGUAGCGCAGCUUGGUAGCGCACCUGACUGGGGGUCAGGGGGUCGCAGGUUCAAAUCCUGUCAGCCCGACC